CCUACGGGUAGCAGCAGUGAGGAAUAUUGGUCACUGGACGAGAGUCUGAACCAGCCAAGUAGCGUGAAGGAUGACUGCCCUAUGGGUUGUAAACUUCUUUUAUAUGGGAAUAAAACGUUCCACGUGUGGGAUUUUGUAUGUACCAUAUGAAUAAGGAUCGGCUAACUCCGUGCCAGCAGCCGCGGUAAUACGGAGGAUCCGAGCGUUAUCCGGAUUUAUUGGGUUUAAAGGGAGCGUAGGUGGAUUGUUAAGUCAGUUGUGAAAGUUUGCGGCUCAACCGUAAAAUUGCAGUUGAAACUGGCAGUCUUGAGUACAGUAGAGGUGGGCGGAAUUCGUGGUGUAGCGGUGAAAUGCUUAGAUAUCACGAAGAACUCCGAUUGCGAAGGCAGUUCACUGGACUGCAACUGACACUGAGGCUCGAAAGUGUGGGUAUCAAACAGGAUUAGAUACCCUUGUAGUC
rnacentral:rRNA from 1 species